UAGGGAAUUUUCGUCAAUGGGCGCAAGCCUGAACGAGCAAUGCCGCGUGAACGAGGAAGGUCUUCGGAUCGUAAAGUUCUGUUGAAGGGGAAAAAGAGCGGAGAGNGGAAAUGCUUUCUGAUUGAUAUUACCCUUCGAGGAAGUCACGGCUAACUACGUGCC
rnacentral:rRNA from 1 species